AACGAACGCUGGCGGCAUGCCUAACACAUGCAAGUCGAACGAGACCUUCGGGUCUAGUGUCGCACGGGUUCGUAACGCGUGGGAACCUGCCCUUAGGUUCGGAAUAACUCCCCGAAAGGGGUGCUAAUACCGGAUAAUGUCUUCGGACCAAAGAUUUAUCGCCUUUGGAUGGGCCCGCGUUGGAUUAGCUAGUUGGUAGGGUAAAAGCCUACCAAGGCGACGAUCCAUAGCUGGUCUGAGAGGAUGAUCAGCCACACUGGGAGUGAGACACGGCCCAGACUCCUACGGGAGGCAGCAGUGGGGAAUAUUGGAAAAUGGGCGAAAGCCUGAUCCAGCAAUGACGGGUGAGUGAUGAAGGCAUUAGGGUUGUAAAGCUCUUUUAACCGGGAUGAUAAUGACAGUACCGGGAGAAUAAGCUCCGGCUAACUCCGUG
rnacentral:rRNA from 1 species